rnacentral:lncRNA from 1 species
GCGUAUUAUAUUGCGUUACGGUAAUCAACGGUUCAGGCAAGUUUUUCAAGUUCUUUUUACUUAAACUCUUUUAAGAGUGGUUUCAGACAGAUAUGCUUAUGAAUUGUACUCUGUACAUAUUGCAUGUAUUCAUCAGGUAUGAAAGGCUGAUCACCUUCAUUACCAGUCAGUUCAGAUAUAAUUGUUAUGUUCAUUUUCAAUGUUCAUUCAGCUUUGAAAUUUUGUUCAUGCUAAUUCACAACUACAUUGUGAAGGAUAGCCAGCUUAUUAUUCAAACUCUUUCAAUCAUGAUAUAUCUUUACCUUGUUUUUUUUAAACUUGUUGGGCAACUUUCAUGCUCACCCUUGCUAUAUCAUGAUAAAACAUUGCAGAUAAGGCGAAUAUGGCCAGAUACAUGAAAAGGUUAAUGCCAAGUACAGCUUGGGAUAAAUUGUG